UGGGUUGUGGCUCAGUGGUAGAGUGCUUGCCUUGCAUGCAUGAGGUGCUGGGUUCAAUUUUCAGUACCACAU
rnacentral:tRNA from 1 species